GUCGAGCGGCAGCACAGAGGAACUUGUUCCUUGGGUGGCGAGCGGCGGACGGGUGAGUAAUGCCUGGGAAAUUGCCCGGUAGAGGGGGAUAACCAUUGGAAACGAUGGCUAAUACCGCAUAACCUCGCAAGAGCAAAGCAGGGGACCUUCGGGCCUUGCGCUACCGGAUAUGCCCAGGUGGGAUUAGCUAGUUGGUGAGGUAAGGGCUCACCAAGGCGACGAUCCCUAGCUGGUCUGAGAGGAUGAUCAGCCACACUGGAACUGAGACACGGUCCAGACUCCUACGGGAGGCAGCAGUGGGGAAUAUUGCACAAUGGGCGCAAGCCUGAUGCAGCCAUGCCGCGUGUAUGAAGAAGGCCUUCGGGUUGUAAAGUACUUUCAGUAGGGAGGAAGGUGGUUAAGUUAAUACCUUAAUCAUUUGACGUUACCUACAGAAGAAGCACCGGCUAACUCCGUGCCAGCAGCCGCGGUAAUACGGAGGGUGCAAGCGUUAAUCGGAAUUACUGGGCGUAAAGCGCAUGCAGGUGGUUUGUUAAGUCAGAUGUGAAAGCCCUGGGCUCAACCUAGGAAUCGCAUUUGAAACUGACAAGCUAGAGUACUGUAGAGGGGGGUAGAAUUUCAGGUGUAGCGGUGAAAUGCGUAGAGAUCUGAAGGAAUACCGGUGGCGAAGGCGGCCCCCUGGACAGAUACUGACACUCAGAUGCGAAAGCGUGGGGAGCAACAGGAUUAGAUACCCUGGUAGUCCACGCCGUAAACGAUGUCUACUUGGAGGUUGUGCCCUAGAGGCGUGGCUUUCGGAGCUAACGCGUUAAGUAGACCGCCUGGGGAGUACGGUCGCAAGAUUAAAACUCAAAUGAAUUGACGGGGGCCCGCACAAGCGGUGGAGCAUGUGGUUUAAUUCGAUGCAACGCGAAGAACCUUACCUACUCUUGACAUCCAGAGAAUCUAGCGGAGACGCUGGAGUGCCUUC
rnacentral:rRNA from 1 species